rnacentral:rRNA from 1 species
GAUGAACUCUGGCGGCGUGCCUAAUACAUGCAAGUCGAGCGAACGGACGAGAAGCUUGCUUCUCUGAUAUUAGCGGCGGACGGGUGAGUAACACGUGGAUAACCUACCUAUAAGACUGGGAUAACUUCGGGAAACCGUAGCUAAUACCGGAUAAUAUUUUGAACCGCAUGGUUCAAAAGUGAAAGACGGUCUUGCUGUCACUUAUAGAUGGAUCCGCGCUGCAUUAGCUAGUUGGUAAGGUAACGGCUUACCAAGGCAACGAUGCAUAGCCGACCUGAGAGGGUGAUCGGCCACACUGGAACUGAGACACGGUCCAGACUCCUACGGGAGGCAGCAGUAGGGAAUCUUCCGCAAUGGGCGAAAGCCUGACGGAGCAACGCCGCGUGAGUGAUGAAGGUCUUCGGAUCGUAAAACUCUGUUAUUAGGGAAGAACAUAUGUGUAAGUAACUGUGCACGUCUUGACGGUACCUAAUCAGAAAGCCACGGCUAACUACGUG